rnacentral:tRNA from 1 species
UAAAAAAUAAGCUAAAUAAGCUAUUAGAUUCAUACUCUGAUAAUAAAGGUUCAAUCCUUUUUUUUUAA